AGCGAACGCUGGCAGCAGGCCUAACACAUGCAAGUCGAACGAAGUCUUCGGACUUAGUGGCGGACGGGUGAGUAACACGUGGGAACGUACCUUUUGGUUCGGAACAACUCAGGGAAACUUGAGCUAAUACCGGAUGAGCUCUUAGGGGGAAAGAUUUAUCGCCGAAAGAGCGGCCAGCGUUAGAUUAGGUAGUUGGUGCGGUAAAGGCUCACCAAGUCUACGAUCUAUAGCUGGUCUGAGAGGAUGAUCAACCACACUGGGACUGAGACACGGGCCAGACUCCUAAGGGAGGCAGCAGUGGGGAAUCUUGCGCAAUGGGCGAACGCCUGACGCCGCCAUGCCGCGUGAAUGAUGAAGGUCUUAGGAUUGUAAAAUUCUUUGACCAGGGACGAUAAUGACGGUACCUGGAGAAAAAGCCCCGGCUAACUUCGUGCCAGCCGCCGCCGUAAGAC
rnacentral:rRNA from 1 species